rnacentral:rRNA from 3 species
GGACUACUCGGGUAUCUAAUCCCGUUCGCUCCCCUGGCUUUCGCGCCUCAGCGUCAGAAGAGGUCCAGCGCGCCGCUUUCGCCACCGACGUUCCUUCCGAUAUCUACGCAUUUCACCGCUCCACCGGAAGUUCCGCACGCCCCUACCUCCCUCGAGGCCCGAAGUAUCAGAGGCACUUCCCCAGUUGAGCUGGGGGCUUUCACCCCUGACUUUCGGGCCCGCCUACGCGCCCUUUAAGCCCAGUGAUUCCGAAUAACGUUCGCUCGGUUCGUCUUACCGCGGCGGCUGGCAC